GGCGAACGGGUGAGUAACGCGUGAGGAACCUGCCUCAAAGAGGGGGACAACAGUUGGAAACGACUGCUAAUACCGCAUAAGCCCACGGGUCGGCAUCGACCAGAGGGAAAAGGAGCAAUCCGCUUUGAGAUGGCCUCGCGUCCGAUUAGCUAGUUGGUGAGGUAAUGGCCCACCAAGGCGACGAUCGGUAGCCGGACUGAGAGGUUGAACGGCCACAUUGGGACUGAGACACGGCCCAGACUCCUACGGGAGGCAGCAUG
rnacentral:rRNA from 1 species